rnacentral:lncRNA from 1 species
AGCUCGUUAGUUUUGCUGCUGUGCUUCUGGUGGAAGGAUUAGGGAGCCUUCUUUUCCUACAUAACCUGCAAGUGCCAAUGCCCUUCCUUCAGUAAGGGAGCCCAAGGUGGUGUAGAGCAUUUGAGUCCUGGUGUUUUCCUGCAAGUAUGCAGCAUCCUCUAACUAGGAGCAUAGAAGAGGGAAAUUGUAUCAUCUGGAUUCCUCUGGUUCUGUUUGCUCCUUAGAGCACUGAAUGAAUUCCCUCCCUAAAUGGUAUGUGGAAUUGUGGAAUAGAAAGUGUGGUGGAACAGAAAAGCUGCUUCCUAGCAUCCUCUAGCCUCCCUAGAGGCACAGAUCAGGAUUCCAGGGAGGUAAGCAACCCUCAGCAGCUCUGCAAAGAGGGAGCGUCUACAACAGGGAAUGGAAGUGUCUGCACCACAAUGAAGUACAAGAGGAACAUGACUGAAAACCAAGGGAGGUUCCUUAUGAGCAAGUGACUCUAACCAAAGUCUAGUUCUGCCUGCUUUGGUGAUGUGCGUAUGGCGAUGGACCUGUGAGGAAUGGAAGAUAAGUGUCCUACAAAGGGCAAUGGAGACAUGAAUGGUGGGUGUGAGCUGGCUUCAGCAUUUAAGAAAGAAGAUGGAAGAGCUGGAGUAAAAACUGUCACCAGGGGAAUGCAUGGUUGCAUACAGUUCCAAAAGAAUACACAUUUAAUUACUUUGUUAAAGUACCUUUACCAGGACCUUUAUUUCAACUGAGUGUGUG